CCCGCCGAGGGGCGCUGCGACCGUUCGACUGCGGAUCCACCCGCAGUCAGAAACGGCCAGGCUCGGCGCGGCACGUUCCACAACGGCGCCCGGUUGUU
rnacentral:ncRNA from 2 species